GGCAAGAUGGGUGUGAAACGUGUUAGGCCCCUGACGAGACCUACGCCUGCUACUGAUUCCUCAUUCUGAUGGUGACAUGGAUAUGGGAACUAUCAGGGCACAUAGAGCGCUUAGAUGCACUUGAAAAAGAAAAGCAAAAAGGCAUUUCCAACAAGGAUGGAAGUGGUCCCUCUGGGGUCCCAGCCAGGCUUGGGCCUGCUACAAGGGGCGCUAAAAAAGCUAAACUCUUACACUCCUUAUCCGCCAGGCUGGAUGCGUUGGAGGCCAAGGAUCAACAACCAGCUUCAGUGACGAUGGCCUUGCCUGUGGACAACGCUGUGGCAGCAUUUGCUGUGGAAUCAGUGGGGGGUGCCAUGGCAGCUAUGGAAGGGCCUGGAUCCGCCCUCUAGGUGUCCUGCACACAGUCAUAGUAGUCUGGAAGUGUGUAAGAGAAGCAGUCGGGACAAGGAGACAGAUCUCCUUCCGUCCAUUUCACUACAGCUGGAGGAGCAAGAAAGGUCAGAAUGAAGGGACUCAUCACCAGUACUGCAUGUACUCCUCAGUUUCUCAUUCUUGAAGACAUCUUGGACUGUGUUUGGACACUUACAUACACUGGUUUUUCAUUUUUCCAUUGUAUUUAAUUAUUCUACCUGUUAUUUUGUUAUUGUAUUUUUACAUGUAUUUUCAUAUGUGUUAUAUAGUUGUGUUUGAUUAUUUUGAUGUGUGUUGAGAGCUGGAUGCUUAUACAUUUAUCAUUAUUUACCUUUUUUGUUCAUGGAAAUGA